rnacentral:rRNA from 1 species
AGCUUGCUAGAAGCUUGGUUAGUGGCGGACGGGUGAGUAACACGUGGAUAAUCUGCCUUUGACACUGGGACAACACUGUGAAAACGGUGCUAAUACCGGAUACCUUAAUUAAGUCACAUGACUUGAUUAAGAAAGGAGCAAUCCGGUCAAAGAUGAGUCCGCGGCUGAUUAGCUAGUUGGUGAGGUAACGGCCCACCAAGGCGACGAUCAGUAGCCGGCCUGAGAGGGUGAACGGCCACACUGGGACUGAGACACGGCCCAGACUCCUACGGGAGGCAGCAGUGGGGAAUCUUCCGCAAUGGACGAAAGUCUGACGGAGCAACGCCGCGUGAGUGAAGAAGGCCUUCGGGUUGUAAAACUCUGUCUUCAGGGAAGAAAAAAAUGACGGUACCUGAGGAGGAAGCCACGGCUAACUACGUGCCAGCAGCCGCGGUAAUACGUAGGUGGCAAGCGUUGUCCGGAAUCAUUGGGCGUAAAGGGCGCGUAGGCGGUUAUUUAAGUCAGUUGUGAAAACUCUGGGCUCAACCCGGAGAUUGCAGUUGAUACUGGGUAACUUGAGUGCAGGAGAGGAUAGUGGAAUUCCUAGUGUAGCGGUGAAAUGCGUAGAUAUUAGGAGGAACACCAGUGGCGAAGGCGACUUCCUGGCCUGUAACUGACGCUGAGGCACGAAAGCGUGGGGAUCAAACAGGAUUAGAUACCCUGGUAGUCCACGCCGUAAACUAUGAUUACUAGUUGUUGGCGAUACAUUGCCAGUGACUGAGCGAAAGCAUUAAGUAAUCCACCUGGGGAGUACGUUCGCAAGAAUGAAACUCAAAGGAAUUGACGGGGGCCCGCACAAGCGGAGGAGCAUGUGGUUUAAUUCGAUGAUACGCGAGGAACCUUACCUGGGCUCGAACGUAUAGGGAAUUAUGCCGAAAGGUAUAAGCCAGCAAUGGCCGAUACAGGUGGUGCAUGGUUGUCGUCAGCUCGUGCCGUGAGGUGUUAGGUUAAGUCCUGCAACGAGCGCAACCCUUACCUUUAGUUGCCAGCAUGUAAUGAUGGGGACUCUAAAGGAACUGCCGGUGACAAACCGGAGGAAGGUGGGGAUGACGUCAAAUCAUCAUGCCCCUUAUGGCCUGGGCUACAAACGUAAUACAAUGGCGUAUACAAAGGGAUGCGAAAGGGCGACCUGGAGCAAAACUCACAAAGUACGUCUCAGUUCAGAUUGGAGUCUGCAACUCGACUCCAUGAAGGCGGAAUCGCUAGUAAUCGCGGAUCAGCAUGCCGCGGUGAAUACGUUCUCGGGCCUU